CAGCCUGUGAGAUGCCAUCUCGCUCACAUUCUUCCCAACGCUAGACAGAACUGAGGAAUCUGAAAGGCAUUAUUGGUGCUCCGGCAGUCUGACACGCCCUGUGCACUUGACUCGCUUGAUUUGCAUAUGCAAUGCAGCCAUACUUAAUGAGUGGGCAUCACUGAACUUCAAGGGCCUGCAGAGAGGAUGAAUCUGAAUGGCACUGUGUGGAAAGAUCAGCAUCGAAGAGUCUGUAGUCCUUCCUAGUCAGGACAUGGAUGCUGCUUGUGAAUUUAAAACCAAAGACAAUCAAGAUCUUGGAGAGAAAGAGAAGCAAAGACUAAAUCAUCCAAUAAACUCUUGCCAGAAAACCGCCUUUGAAGGAGUCAAGAG